rnacentral:tRNA from 1 species
UGGGCUGUAGCCAAGCGGUAAGGCACCAGACUUUGACUCUGGCAUGCGUGUGUUCGAAUCUCACCAGCCCAGCCA